rnacentral:rRNA from 1 species
GAUGAACGCUGGCGGCGUGCUUAACACAUGCAAGUCGAACGGAAAGGCCCAAGCUUGCUUGGGUACUCGAGUGGCGAACGGGUGAGUAACACGUGGGUGAUCUGCCCUGCACUUCGGGAUAAGCCUGGGAAACUGGGUCUAAUACCGGAUAGGACCACUUCUUGGAUGUUGUGGUGGAAAGUUUUUUCGGUGUGGGAUGAGCUCGCGGCCUAUCAGCUUGUUGGUGGGGUAAUGGCCUACCAAGGCGUCGACGGGUAGCCGGCCUGAGAGGGUGUACGGCCACAUUGGGACUGAGAUACGGCCCAGACUCCUACGGGAGGCAGCAGUGGGGAAUAUUGCACAAUGGGCGCAAGCCUGAUGCAGCGACGCCGCGUGGGGGAUGACGGCCUUCGGGUUGUAAACUCCUUUCGCUAGGGACGAAGCGUUUUGUGUCGGUACCUGGAGAAGAAGCACCGGCUAACUACGUG